CAGACCAGAAGUAUUUCUGUCUCUUGGCUUGAUCAGAACAGACAAACCUCCCGCACAUUUAUGCUGCUUGAGCACCCAGCACAACACCACAGACUAUGCUCACACACCCUGUCUGCACCAUGGACUUAGGGAUGCUCCAGCUGCCCACCACGAACACUUUAGAGGUUUUAAUGACGCCAUCAACAAACAUGGUUGCUUUUCCUGCUACCACCAAAGUGUUCAGGAUGAGCUGAUGAGGAGACCAUCACACCACUAGGAUGCAGAGAUAGAGUGAAAAUAAGCGUAAGAAUUGGAUUACUCCAAUGCAAUGACUCCGUUAUCACAGCAAGGGGAUAACCAGUAUUAAAGAAGAACAAGAAAAACUGAAGAACCUACACUUCUGACAUAGAAAAUAUGAGAUGCAUAGAAUAGAAAACCUAAUAAAAGAUGGUUGUCUUUCACGUAAGACUCCUUUAUCCUGCUCUUAAAGGCACAACCAUUUCACCUCACAGGCUUGCAACACUCAUUCUUUUAUCACAAGCUUACUGCUGAGGCAUUUUCAUCACAAUAAUAUUCCCACUUGUAAAUACAACUCCAGGAUGCAUACAGCUUUAUUAUGAAAUGCUGCUCACUGCAUGUAGAGCCAUUAGAAAUACCAGUAGAGUUGUCCAGCAGAUAAAGCAAACCAACAACAAGAAGAAAGCUGAAAUAUGGGGAAGAUUGCUUUGCUACAGCUUGGGUCCAAUCAGCAUCAGAACAAGAACCCAUUGAUUUGGGAUAUUAAAGAAAACCAGUCUGCCUUUCCCUUUCCUUGCACACAACAGGUGUUCCCUUAUAAGCCUCUUAUCAAGCAGUGGAAAUAGAAAAACUGCCUGGCCAACAAGUGGUGUUUAACAGCUUAUAAAUUUCUUUAACGACAAUAACAUCAUUUUACAGUCCCUCUCACUCUGCAGGACUACAACGCACUUUGCCAUCUUAAACAAUGAACUGUGACAUGUGGGACCCACAUGUAGCUGGACAGGAAAAGCUGGGGAUGUAAGAAGGCUUCCCCUCGUAUCCAGGCUGCAGCAUGACGCAGCCAAGCCUGUGUGUUCCCAGACUGCUUAGGCAGCAGAAUGCCUGAACAUGGUGUCUGCACGUGCUGCACCUGACACAGAGCUUUCAGACGCUGUAAAUGUUUUGCCUUGCCUAAAGCAAGAGAGGUAACGCAAAGUCACUGGAGGCAUUAAAAACAAGCAUCUUCAUCUUGAUGCCCUAUGGAAGAAUCACAAAUACAAAUUACCUCUCAGCACUAAAAUGCAUCAGUUGAGACAGGCAAAUUCAGCAAAUACUUAUUGAAAGACAGCAACAUUAGAAAGUAUAAUUUUAGAAUAGAAUAGAAAUGCAGAAAAGUAAUAAAUUGAUAUAGUUAUCCCAAAGCAUAUAGUUAGAGGAAUACAGUUAUUCCAUACAAUAUAGUUGUCUAUUAGGAACAAAGACCUCGUUUCCAAAAAUUUCUUGAGUUAAGGUGCUCUUAUUUGCUCCAAUUGCUUCAAAACUGCAAAAUUCCAGUUUAACUUCAAACAAAAUGCAGUUUCAAUAUCUAGAUGUAUCUCCGGGGCUCAAAUAUGUAUGUGCCAAUGACAGAUCCAGCAACAUCUAUGCUGAAGGAACCCUGACGGCUUCCAUCCAAACAUCUAUUUGCAGAGUCUCUGCAGGACACUGCUGUAUGAUGAACACCCCCACAACAAGCCUUCAGCUUUCUAAUUAAGGUAUUUAUUUAUUUAUCUGUAUGUAAAAGUGUGACACUGAAACAAACAAAAAAACAAAAUUUCUCUGAACAUUAACACCACCUAAUCCAAAGCAAUACAUUACAGCUUUCCCGUUUGUUUCUGGAAGGAGAAUAAACUCAAAUUAUUUCAGCACAGUGGAAAUAUUGUGUAGAAUCACACAACAGAAACAUUAAGACAGUUUCAAGAGACUGAACAUGAGGCUUAUAUUUACCCCUACAUGUUGAAUGCCUCCUGUGACAAGAUAAAGCCAGGGCCAGGGCCCACCACAGUGCUUCUAUAGAGCUUCUGCAUCCUUUGAUGUUAAGAGAAACUGCAUGAGGAUGCAUCCAGACUAGAUAUAAGUCACCAAUGCCACAACAGCUUAUGGCUUUCCAAAUCAAGAUCAUUUAUCAUCAUUUGGUGUAAUAGAGAUGCAUGGUUUUGUGACACAUGUUUUAAGGUCUUACAUAGUACCUACAUCUGUAAGUCAAUGGCAGAAUUAAGGGCAAAACUUACGUAAAUCACUGCACAAACUCUUUAGCCAUGUGGGGUUUUAAAUCACUUUUUACAAAUAGUCAAAAUAAAAAACGUAAUGGCAUUUCAUAAAAGGAAACAGCCACAACUCCAGACUCCCACCACUUGAAGGGAAACAGGAAAGCCAAGAAACUGGAGUAUUACAAACAGUUUUGCUCUUUCCAGCAGCAGACCCGAAACUCCCUGCACCACCACAACAGCAAAGAAGUAGGACUGAAGAAACGAAUUUGUUUCUGCCUGAUAAGUGAUUGGUAUGCUAACCCUAUCGAGCCAGGCAAAGAUGGAGCCUCAGAGCCAGAUCCGUUCAGGAAGCAGCCAGGAUUGCAGUGGUGAGAUGGCCAGCAGGGACGAUCCUGUGGGCUCAGCACAACACGCGUGUGCCCAAGACCAGUUCAAAUCAGGUCACAAAAUCCAAUUCAUGAAAAUAACCUUUUAAAAAUAGAUUGCUACAGUUGGCUAACUCGGAAACCUAAGUGCUUCGGGCUGCUGUCUGAGCUACUCUUUGCAGGGUGUCCGCGCACCAAAAGAAAAGUAAUGACUGGAAAAGCUUUAAACGAGUUCCUGGAACAGCUCUCAUCCUAGAGAAAACACAUACAUAGACUGCAAGGGCAAAAAAGGGAGCCAGGAGAGGAGAUUCUUUUAGAAGUCAUUCGCUGCAGCUGUUAACAUCACUGCACAGUAGACAGGAAAAAAAAAGGAAUGAAGCCUAGUCCUGCUUUGUUCAUGUGUGCACUUCAUGUGCCUGCUAGUUAGGCACACCAAAUCUGCCCUCUGUGCUAUCCUAUUAACGCCAGGAUUUUCACUUUAAACUAUAUAAUGUUUCUGUCCUGUCCAUUUGAAAUUCAGCUAUUCUGUGUGCACACAGGGGUCACUGCACCCCAGGAGCAGGAAAAGAAGGAAAGGGAUGAUGAACUUCCUUCUCCCACCCUCACCCCCAAGUACUCUUGCUCAGUUCAAAAAAGAGAGGCUCGUUUGGAUUUGAGACUUUUGAAGCCAGGUAUGCUCUUUCCUUUAUCUUCCAGAUAUAUGUGAAAGGAAAGCUUUUGCAGGGGAACAGCAGCAAAAAAGCAAAUGAGAGCUGUGCUCCAGACUGGAGGGCAAUGCAGAGGCAACAGCAUUUACAGGUGGAGGAGAGAGCUCCCCCAGCAAUCCCUGCAGACCCUCAGUUGCUGUCUGUGCCGUACCUCGCACAGUCUCUUUCCCUAAAUAUAAGAAAUACCAAGGUAACUUCCAAAGAGGAAGUUUUCCUUUCUGCUAUAUAUUCCCCUUGGAUAUGCAAUAUGACUUUAUUUCUUGCCAGCAUGAAAAUUAGUCUUUAGUGUAGUGCUUAUUCACAUCUCUUUGUAAUUCUCAUUCACACCUCACCCAGGGAAUGUUGCUGCUGCACACAGGUAGUAACUACAAUCCAGUUCUGAGUUCCUCAGAUGACCACAGGUAUUUAUUCCAUUCUGAGAAACUCCACAUUAAACGAACUGCUCCAUUUGGAAAAGCAGCACGUAGCUUCCACAUUCACUAGAUGUAUACCAAGAGGAAAAAGUAUAAGGAAAAAUGAGACCAAGGAAAGGAAAUUGUAUACUAUGUUUAUAGCUCUGUUAAAGUGAACUGUGUGGAACCAGCCAGGAGGCACCUUCCCAUGCCCCCGAGUAACCAAUGCACCCAUGGGAGACAUCCAUGGCACAAACCUUGGAUCAGAGCACUUGGAACUGUAGCAAAAAGGAACCUGGCACUUGUAAAAGACCAAAAAAAUAAAAGCAGGAUCAGAGCUCUGAAUGGUUCCUGACAGCAUUCGCUUCAAGAAGAAAUCUCUGUAAAAUAUGGAAUAUAUUACCAAACCUGGCUGGAAAGCAAAGCAUUUUUAGGUAGGUGGAACUUUUUAAUAGCAUGUCAUUAAAUCACUCUUACAUUUAGCAUUUAAUAGAUGUAACUUUCACAGCAGCACACUCAUUAUGAAGAAAGCACAAGGGACUGUACCAAAUAGCAAGCAGAAUGGACCCAGCACCCAAGUGCCUCGUUGUUUUUUUUUUUUAAGCAUUUGGAUACCAUGGUGAUGAGAAACAUCAUCUGGAUGCCUUAAAGCACUGAAUUAGAAAUACUCUUACUCUGCUACCAGUCCUCCGGCCCCAUCCUCACCUGAAUCUGUCAGAUGAACACAGGUCAGAACUUCCGCCUGUGUAAACUACUGCAGUUCCUCUGCUGUAGCUGGCAUCGGGCCAUUUUUUGGAUCAGAUGUGGGUCUGACCUACACGUACUUAGAUAGUCAGUGUAAUAAAUAUCUUAAAUCCAUUUGACUGGCUAGUGUGGACAUAGGAAAGGUGUGUUAAUCCCAUUUCCAAGACUAAGAGCAAACUGUACAACCUGCCUGAAGUAGGUCACCUGCAUCCAUAUAUAGGUGCUCGCGUGGAGUGGUUUAAGGAGAGUUGAGUGUUUGCACACCAAGCUGAUGUCACUGCUGCUUUAGCCGAGACUUUUGACAAUCCUGAGGUACAAAGGGAUUGGUGUGCUUUUCUUGGCUUGUGACCCAGCAAUGCAAGUUAAAGUCAAGCAGAGUUGUCAGGAUGUGCUCCGUGAACAUAACGCUGAGUUUACACACACACAAACAAAAUAGUGCACAAAGCCCACAUAACUUCAAGAAUCAGGAACUUUUGUGCCGGAUUAUCCCUCUUUCACAAAUGGGUUUUAUAAGACUUCCCCAUUCUACACAAACAGUGUCACUAUUCAAGUGUUUUGAAAUGUUUUACUAAAUCUGCUCGCUAAAUCUGCACAAUUAUCUACAUUAUCUGUGCCGUUAUCUCUAUUGCUAUGUGACACCAAGGAGUGGUGAGGACAGCUCAGGCAGGCAAUGUAACUGCUGGUCAUCCUGCACAUCUCCAGCACUGUUUAACUUUCCAGGCAGAAGCUGUAGGAACCUGUCAUUUGAAGUGGGAACCCACCAGCCUCUGGUUUUGAACUACUGUCCAUGGCCACCAGAAGUCUCAAGCAAAAACACUGCAAUGGAGCUGAAGCUGAAUCAAGCACAUAAACCAAUUCCAAUCACAUCAACUAGGGCCAAGAUGCCAGUAACACCUUACUGAGCAGCUCAGUGAUGUAGACAAGCAGGUUUUUUUCCCCCUUUUUAAAAUCUUUUCCCACAAUAAUGGCUUGUACACUGAAAAGCAUUGUUGCAGAUCCUCAUUGCCACACAGAUCAGUAUUAAUUGAUCAUAACCCAUCUAAUGCAUCAGGUUUUUCCUCUGCUCAGUUUUAGCAUGAGAAGUUUUUCAAACCAGAAUCAGCAGCUUCCUCCGGGCUCCCAAAUAGUUAAAGACCAUUUCUUUAGAAAACUGAUAAAUAACCUGCAGAAGCAGACAGAUAACACAGCAGCAGGAACCUGUGAGAGAUAGCUGCCCUAUUUCACACCCCAGCUAACUUUCAAGCAGGAUUGAGCUGAACUGGAGCAAGCUGCUAACCAGAGAAUUGCACACCAUGGAUCUGAGUCCUUGAAGCUCACAAGAUCAUUACUAUUCACCCGGCAGGCCUGACCGACUCCUUCGGACUAAAUUUAUCUGAGUGCCUCAGACUGACUCUAUUAGCAUCACUCCUGAACUCUGCUUCAGCACAAAAAAGCAGAGCAGGAAAGUUAAAUUGCUGUGAACGCAGUGGCAGUCAGAUCCAAGGAUACUGGCUCUUCAUGACAUCUUUCUGUGAACAAGAGGCAUUAAAUGUGAAGCAGGAGGAUUUGGGCUCAGUGUCUCUGCUUCAUAGGCAAAUGCCUUAUCUCUGCAGCAUCAAAGCAAGACAGGCAUUGGGUACAAUCAGAACUGAAAGACUGCAGUGUGACAAUAACAGUCUUAGAUGGUGAGGGGAAUCUCCUGCCGGAGAAAAUUCUGCUGGUUUUCCUGUACAGUGCAGUACCUCAUAUGGCCACCUUCCUUAUUAUGAGCAUGGCACAUGCACAAGCUUGGCCUGUUACCUCCUUUAGCUAUGCACUCUGCCAGAAUCUGAUGACAUUUUCCUGACAUCAGAAACCCUACCUUUGGCUUUCCAUCCUCAGAGCUACACACAGCUCUAAUCAAACCACUUAUUGUCUCAUUUCUGUGAUUUCCUUUGGCUUCUGACCUUCCCAACACUGACAUCACCAUUUCCCUUCCACAUAGGAUGCAAGCUGUGGCUGCGUUCCCAGCAAAGUGCCUUCCAGCUCUGCUCUGAAGCACUCUGCUGGAAAACCUUGUUGCUUUCUUCCAUGUAUUUCAGGUUUCCCUACAGUUUUCUCAUUUCUCCCCCCCUUAUUGUGUUGCUCUCAGCCAUUCCCUGUGCUCCACAUCCAGUGUCAAAUUCCCUGAUGCCACAGGCUUGUCCUUCAGACACAUUUAAAAGCGGAGAAAAG